rnacentral:rRNA from 1 species
AGAGUUUGAUCCUGGCUCAGGAUGAACGCUGGCGGCGUGCUUAACACAUGCAAGUCGAACGGGAAACUUUUCAUUGAAGCUUCGGCAGAUUUGGUCUGUUUCUAGUGGCGGACGGGUGAGUAACGCGUGGGUAACCUGCCUUAUACAGGGGGAUAACAACCAGAAAUGGUUGCUAAUACCGCAUAAGCGCACAGGACCGCAUGGUCCGGUGUGAAAAACUCCGGUGGUAUAAGAUGGACCCGCGUUGGAUUAGCUAGUUGGCAGGGUAACGGCCUACCAAGGCGACGAUCCAUAGCCGGCCUGAGAGGGUGAACGGCCACAUUGGGACCGAGACACGGCCCAGACUCCUACGGGAGGCAGCAGUGGGGAAUAUUGCACAAUGGGGGAAACCCUGAUGCAGCGACGCCGCGUGAAGGAAGAAGUAUCUCGGUAUGUAAACUUCUAUCAGCAGGGAAGAUAGUGACGGUACCUGACUAAGAAGCUCCGGCUAACUACGUGCCAGCAGCCGCGGUAAUACGUAGGGGGCAAGCGUUAUCCGGAUUUACUGGGUGUAAAGGGAGCGUAGACGGACUGGCAAGUCUGAUGUGAAAGGCGGGGGCUCAACCCCUGGACUGCAUUGGAAACUGUUAGUCUUGAGUGCCGGAGAGGUAAGCGGAAUUCCUAGUGUAGCGGUGAAAUGCGUAGAUAUUAGGAGGAACACCAGUGGCGAAGGCGGCUUACUGGACGGUAACUGACGUUGAGGCUCGAAAGCGUGGGGAGCAAACCAGGAUUAGAUACCCUGGUAGUCCACGCCGUAAACGAUGAA